GCAGGCUGCAACUCGCCUGCAUGAAGUCGGAAUUGCUAGUAAUCGCAGAUCAGCAUGCUGCGGUGAAUACGUUCCCGGGCCUUGUACACACCACCCGUCACACCAUGGGAGUCGGUAACACCCGAAGUCGGUAGCCUAACCGUAAGGAGGGCGCCGCCGAAGGUGGGAUUGAUGACUGGGGUGAAGUCGUAACAAGGUAGC
rnacentral:rRNA from 1 species